rnacentral:snRNA from 1 species
GUAUUCCACAUGGAAUACAUAUACUAAAAUUGGAACGAUACAGAGAAGAUUAGCAUGGCCCCUGCGCAAGGAUGACACGCAAAAUCGUGAAGCGUUCCACAUUUUU